GCAGUCGUGGCCGAGUGGUUAAGGCGAUGGACUAGAAAUCCAUUUUGG
rnacentral:tRNA from 1 species